rnacentral:rRNA from 1 species
GACGAACGCUGGCGGCGUGCUUAACACAUGCAAGUCGUACGGUAAGGCCCUUUCGGGGGUACACGAGUGGCGAACGGGUGAGUAACACGUGAGUAACCUGCCCACAACUUUGGGAUAACGCUAGGAAACUGGUGCUAAUACUGGAUAUGUGCUCCUGCUGCAUGGUGGGGGUUGGAAAGCUCCGGCGGUUGUGGAUGGACUCGCGGCCUAUCAGCUUGUUGGUGGGGUAGUGGCCUACCAAGGCGGCGACGGGUAGCCGGCCUGAGAGGGUGACCGGCCACAGUGGGACUGAGAUACGGCCCAGACACCGACGGGAGGCAGCAGUGGGGAAUAUUGCACAAUGGGCGCAAGCCUGAUGCAGCAACGCCGCGUGCGGGAUGACGGCCUUCGGGUUGUAAACCGCUUUCAGCAGGGACGAAGCUUUUUGUGACGGUACCUGCAGAAGAAGCACCGGCUAACUACGUG